UUUCUCUUUUCAUCGCGAAAGUAGAGUCACUUCAAUUGUUCGCCGAAAAUUAUUCACGGUCGCGUUACUAGUACUUUAUAUCUUUAUCUUUAUUUUUAAUUUUUUUUGUUUAAUUGUUCGAUAUCGGUAUUAGAGUCAAUCAUCCACCACUGAAGAGGAGUAUUGGGCGUUGCUCCAUAAGGAAAGAGUAUGAAUUUUUUUAUUUUGCCGAGUUCCUGGGUAUCCUGAUGAUGGCUUUCUUCACGACUUCCGUCUUGAUGAGUCUUCACCUACAAGGCAGUCUCCUACCUGAUGUUGUCCAUCCUCCUACUUGACUGUCGGAAGAAGAGUAUAUCUGCGAACGGUGAGUCGCAUGUUUUAUGGUUCCUCUGGUGCCCAGUCAU